UUCACGUUCUACUCCUAUGUGCUCACACUAGUUUCAUCCCUCUCUCAAAAACCCUCCCACUUUCCGAUGCUAUCACUCCACCACCACCUCCCCGGAACCACCACAAAUGCCAACCUCCAAUUCCCUCCAACCACCUAUCUCCGCCACUCAUCCCCAUUCCCCAAAACCCUAACCCUAAUCCCCCCUAAACCCUACCUCCCUCCAUUAACCCCCAAAGCCCUCCUUCAAUGGAACCGCAAACCACAGCUCUCCGGCGAAACACCGCGUGUCGUCGUCGUCACAUCCGGCAAAGGCGGCGUCGGUAAAACCACAACAACCGCAAACAUCGGCCUUUCAUUAGCCCGGCUGGGUUUCUCCGUUGUCGCAAUCGACGCUGACGUCGGACUUCGUAACCUAGACCUUCUUUUAGGUCUCGAGAAUCGAGUCAAUUACACCGUUGUCGAAGUUCUCAAUGGUGAAUGUCGACUCGAUCAGGCUUUGGUUAGAGAUAAACGUUGGUCCAAUUUUGAACUUCUUUGUAUUUCCAAACCGAGAUCUAAACUCCCUAUUGGAUUUGGUGGAAAAGCCCUAACUUGGUUAGUUGAAGCUUUAAAAGCCCGGGGAGACGGCACCAACGGAAACGGUUCCGCUGGUUCUCGUAGCCCGGACUUUAUCCUCAUUGAUUGUCCGGCGGGAAUCGAUGCGGGGUUUAUAACCGCUAUCACGCCUGCGAACGAGGCGGUUUUAAUAACUACACCUGAUAUAACUGCUCUUAGGGAUGCUGAUAGAGUAACCGGGUUAUUGGAAUGUGAUGGGAUUAGGGAUAUUAAGAUGAUAGUGAAUAGGGUUAGGACUGAUAUGAUUAAAGGUGAAGAUAUGAUGUCGGUUUUGGAUGUUCAAGAAAUGUUGGGGUUGCCUUUACUUGGUGCUAUACCGGAGGAUAGUGAGGUUAUAAGGAGUACUAAUAGAGGGUACCCUCUUGUUUUGAAUAAGCCUCCUACUUUGGCGGGUUUGGCUUUUGAACAAGCGGCUUGGAGACUUGUUGAGCAGGAUAGUAUGCAAGCUGUUAUGGUUGAGGAAGAGCCGAAAAGAGGGUUUUUCUCAUUUUUUGGUGGUUAAUGAUCAAUUGGGUCAUUUUUUGUUUUUUGUUUUUCAUUAGGCGCAAGUUUGUAAUGAAUGGUUUUAUGGUGUCUGAAGAAUGUUUUUUGAGUUGCAAUUGUGUUGUAAUUUGCAACCAUGGCUUGAUGUGGAAGCGGGAUUCGUGGUUGCAUAAAGUGAUGCUGUCCAUGGUUAUCAGCAUCUCAUGAUUCAAAGCAAAUUUUGAAACCAUUAAGUGUUACCGUAAAACAUUCCACAAUUUCAAAUGUGGCGAGGGAGAUUUUUUAAAAUUUAUUAGGAUUAUCAAAAAAAUAUAUAAGGUGUAUUGAUGAUCCCCUUCAAUUUUAUCGAGGACUCAGGUAAAUAUGGCCAAUUAAUUUUGGGCUUAUUUUUUUUUAUUGAAGUGCUCAUGAAAAAAUGAGGGCAUUAAACCAACCCUAAAAUUUAGAAGUUAAACUCUGGAUGCACCUAAAAUGCUAUCAUGGUUAAGUCUCUGACUCAAGCCAAAGAUCGGCCUAUAUAUAGGUAAUCCGAUGUCUCUUUUCUUAAUCCUAUCUCAAAUAUUCUCUUUUUCUCUUGAAUUUUUUUGUUUCUCUGUUCUUGUGUAUUCUUUGGUAUUUUUGGUGUGCUACUCAAGUAUUUUUAUCAUCAUCACUAAUGGCACCAAAAAGAGAUCGAACCUUCGAUAAUACCUCUACUCUAGUGUUCUUCUUCAGGGAAUUCUACUCACAGGAACAUGUAAAUAGGUUCUACAAAGAUUACACUCCUAUGAAUCUCACUCCAGCUCAUUAUAUGGAUGAAAGUAUGUUUAGAGACCGUCAAUUCUUUGAUGUCUUUGUCCAAGUAAAUUUUAAAGAUUGCAUAUGCAGCACUCUCGAAGAGAUGUUUCCUACUUUGAUGGAAUUUUUUUAUUCCAACCUCAAUUACAAAAAUAGAAUCAUCACUUUUAAGGUUCGGAAGCAAGAAAUAUUCUUAUUCCUUGAAGAGUUUGAUAAGAUACCGACCCAGUGUACAAGCUUGAUGAUAUAGAGGAGAGUGAAGAGUUCAAUUUUGAUGUUGUUUCAAAAUCCUUCCUAUCAAAUCCAAAUUUGGAUCCGCCUUUUCCUCUCACGCGUCUAGAUAAUUGUCUUAUUCGUUAUACGACAACUUAUAUUCUCAUAUAGAAAAAAUUCAACCUUGAGAAGAUCUCCAACAUCAAUGUUAUUUUAAUUCGGUUACUAGAUAAUAGAGUUGAAACAUAUUGGAAAAGUGGGGUGAUAUGCCAUAUGAUGGAAAACAAAAGAAGGGGGAAUAUGUGUUUACCAUAUGAUGACCUAAUAACAAAAAUUAUAGAACAUUAUGGAUUUAAUCUUGAGGAGGAAGAGUCAGAAGAAAACUCUACAAGAAUAGGGAGGCACACUGAGACAAAUGCAAAAUAUCAUCGACAAAGGAGUUGUGGUUCAUCAACCUCCUAAAGUAAGGGGAAAUACUCAACAAGGUCAAGCUCAACAGCAAGCGCCACAUUAGGCAGGCUUGUCAUGGCUGGUGGAUUUCAAUUACGAAAUUCCUCUUAAUGAAGCUUUCUUCAACAUAUUCAUCUAGAACGAUCAGGUUCAAGCUGAAGCUCAAAGUGGACAUAUGCCAAGAUUGAUUACAUGGCUCACGAGCUAGCUAAAAUUGGAAAUGCCUUUAAAGCUUGGGAUGUUUAGUGAUGAUGGUGAGGGCACUGAGUAGUUUGUGUCUGCUACGCUUGCUUUGAUUAUUUUUGUGUUUUUGUUUUUAUGAUAUUUUUUCUUUUAGUACUUUCCUUUUGUAUCUCUUUGUUUUGAUUGAAAAAAGAAAAAAAUGUUUUCAGUAAUUGAAUCUAUUAAGUUCUUGUUAUCUUUGAAAUAAUUAUUUGUGAUUAUGUGUUUGUGCUAUUAUCCAUCCUUUUACUUUUCUCGCUUUUUUGAUAAUGUUAAAUAGGGAGAAGUAUACUAUCAGGGGGAGCAUAGUAUACUCUCUUUAUUUAUUAGGGGGAGUCUUACCACACUAAUCUUUAAUCUAUCUUUUUUUCUUUCUAUUUUACCACUUUUUUGAGGGAUGCGUUGUCAUCAUUUAAAAGGGGAGAAUGUGGAUUUAUGUGCUUGCAGGUACAACUGUCGACUUCCAUCGUAGAAUCAUGAUUAUUUCCUUUUUGACCCAAUUAUUUUCCUAUAAAUAGAUGGCUACUCGUCAUUCUAUUUAAUACCAUAUUUUCGAAAUUAAAUAACUUUUAUAUCAUCAUAUACUCUUUUAUUCUCCAU